AUUGAACGCUGGCGGCAGGCCUAACACAUGCAAGUCGAGCGGAUGAAAGGGGCUUGCUCCUGGAUUCAGCGGCGGACGGGUGAGUAAUGCGCAGGAAUCUACCUAGUAGUGGGGGAUAACGUUUCGAAGGAACGCUAAUACCGCAUACGUUCUGAGGAAGAAAGCAGGGGAGUCGUAAGACCUUGCGCUAUUAGAUGAGCUUGCGUCCGAUUAGCUAGUUGGCGGGGUAACGGCCCACCAAGGCGACGAUGUCUAGCUGGUCUGAGAGGAUGAUCAGCCACACUGGGACUGAGACACGGCCCAGACUCCUACGGGAGGCAGCAGUAGGGAAUAUUGGACAAUGGGGGGAACCCGUGAUCCAGCCAUGCCGCGUGAGUGAAGAAGGCCUCGGUU
rnacentral:rRNA from 1 species